GAUCCUGGCUCAGGACGAACGCUGGCGGCGUGCUUAACACAUGCAAGUCGAACGCUGAAGGCUCAGCUUGCUGGGCUGGAUGAGUGGCGAACGGGUGAGUAACACGUGAGUAACCUGCCCUCUUCUUUGGGAUAACGGUCGGAAACGGCUGCUAAUACCGGGUAUUCACUGUCCUUCGCAUGGGGGGUGGUGGAAAGGUUUUCUGGUGGGGGAGUGGGCUCGCGGCCUAUCAGCUUGUUGGUGGGGUGA
rnacentral:rRNA from 1 species